AGGAGGUGUUCCAACCCAGUUCACUGGCCAGCAGUUGCAACCAUUCGAUGCCGCCAAUCAGCAAUGCCACGAGCACCCCGAUACCGGUGACCGCGGUGUUGAACACCAGCUCGCGCACUGGGCUCAUGCCGGCGGUAAACAGCAGCGGAAACACCAUCACGCCCCAGAGACUCAUGGCGCCAUGCUGGGCAAGGCUCGCGGACAGGCCCAGGAUCGCGAUUUCGGUGGCGGUAUCAAAACCGAGGCCAAACAGAAACCCGAUCGGGUACAUCUGCCAACUGGCGUGGAUGCGCCCGUACAGGCGCCGGAACACGCGCGACAUGAAGCCGCGCUGCUCCAGUAGCGCAUCGGUGUUGGCUUGCUCAAUGUCCGUUCCGCCGGCGCGUGUGCGCUUCAAUGCCCGCAGCAGCAGGAUGAGGAUGCGCAGGUUGACCAGACCAAUCACAGUCAGGAACAGGGCCGAGACCACGGUGCCGACCACGCCGCCCAUGCCGCGCAUCAGCGCCAUGUGCGGAUUCGGUUUCCCGGGCCGCCAGCGCGAGCCCCAGCGACAGCAGAAUCACCACCGUCGAGUGACCGAGCGAGAAAAACAGACCGACGCUGCCGGGGCGCUGGCCAUCCUGGCGCACUUGCGCGUCACGUUGUCGAUCGCGGCGAUGUGAUCGGCAUCGAAGGCAUGGCGCAGGCCAAAGAAAUACGCCAUCGAGCCGAUGCCGAACAGGGCGGCG
rnacentral:rRNA from 1 species